UGAACGCUAGCGGCAGGCUUAAUACAUGCAAGUCGAGGGGUAGCAUGAGUAGCAAUACUUGAUGACGACCGGCAAACGGGUGCGGAACACGUACGCAACCUUCCCAUAACUGGUGAAUAGCCUUCCGAAAGGGAGAUUAAUACACCGUAACAUAACGAAGCGGCAUCGCUUUGUUAUUAUAGGCUUCGGCCGGUUUUGGAUGGGCGUGCGCCUGAUUAGGUAGUUGGCGGGGUAACGGCCCACCAAGCCUGCGAUCAGUAACUGGUGUGAGAGCACGACCAGUCACACGGGCACUGAGACACGGGCCCGACUCCUACGGGAGGCAGCAGUAAGGAAUAUUGGUCAAUGGACGAAAGUCUGAACCAGCCAUGCCGCGUGAAGGAUGAAGGCCCUUUGGGUUGUAAACUUCUUUUAUCUGGGUCGAAAAAAGCUCAUUCUUGAGCACUUGACGGUACCAGAGGAAUAAGCACCGGCUAACUCCGUGCCAGCAGCCGCGGUAAUACGGAGGGUGCAAGCGUUAUCCGGAUUCACUGGGUUUAAAGGGUGCGUAGGUGGGUCUGUAAGUCAGUGGUGAAAUCUCCGAGCUUAACUCGGAAACUGCCAUUGAUACUAUAGGUCUUGAAUCAUCUGGAGGUAAGCGGAAUAUGUCAUGUAGCGGUGAAAUGCUUAGAUAUGACAUAGAACGCCAAUUGCGAAGGCAGCUUACUACGGGUGUAUUGACACUGAGGCACGAAAGCGUGGGGAUC
rnacentral:rRNA from 1 species